rnacentral:rRNA from 1 species
CCGCCGGCGACCGGCGCACGGGUGAGUAACGCGUAUGCAACCUGCCCGUUUCAGCGGGAUAACCCGGAGAAAUCCGGCCUAAUACCGCAUGUGGCCGAGGGGAGGCAUCUUCUUUCGGCCAAAGGAGGCGACUCCGGAGACGGAUGGGCAUGCGUGACAUUAGCUUGUUGGCGGGGUAACGGCCCACCAAGGCGACGAUGUCUAGGGGUUCUGAGAGGAAGGUCCCCCACACUGGUACUGAGACACGGACCAGACUCCUACGGGAGGCAGCAGUGAGGAAUAUUGGUCAAUGGACGCAAGUCUGAACCAGCCAUGCCGCGUGCAGGAUGACGGCUCUAUGAGUUGUAAACUGCUUUUGUACGAGGGUAAACCCCGAUACGUGUAUCGGGUUGAAAGUAUCGUACGAAUAAGGAUCGGCUAACUCCGUGCCAGCAGCCGCGGUAAUACGGAGGAUCCGAGCGUUAUCCGGAUUUAUUGGGUUUAAAGGGUGCGUAGGCGGAAUAUCAAGUCAGCGGUAAAAAUUCGGGGCUCAACCCCGUCGUGCCGUUGAAACUGAUGUUCUUGAGUGGGCGAGAAGUAUGCGGAAUGCGUGGUGUAGCGGUGAAAUGCAUAGAUAUCACGCAGAACUCCGAUUGCGAAGGCAGCAUACCGGCGCCCAACUGACGCUGAAGCACGAAAGCGUGGGUAUCGAACAGGAUUAGAUACCCUGGUAGUCCACGCAGUAAACGAUGAAUGCUAAUUGUCCGGAGGGAUUGACCUCUGGGUGAUACAGCGAAAGCGU